GAUGAACGCUGGCGGCGUGCUUAACACAUGCAAGUCGAACGAUGAAGCCCAGCUUGCUGGGUGGAUUAGUGGCGAACGGGUGAGUAACACGUGAGUAACCUGCCCUUAACUCUGGGAUAAGCCUGGGAAACUGGGUCUAAUACCGGAUAGGAGCGUCCACCGCAUGGUGGGGGUUGGAAAGAUUUAUCGGUUUUGGAUGGACUCGCGGCCUAUCAGCUUGUUGGUGAGGUAAUGGCUCACCAAGGCGACGACGGGUAGCCGGCCUGAGAGGGUGACCGGCCACACUGGGACUGAGACACGGCCCAGACUCCUACGGGAGGCAGCAGUGGGGAAUAUUGCACAAUGGGCGGAAGCCUGAUGCAGCGACGCCGCGUGAGGGAUGACGGCCUUCGGGUUGUAAACCUCUUUCAGUAGGGAAGAAGCGAAAGUGACGGUACCUGCAGAAGAAGCACCGGCUAACUACGUG
rnacentral:rRNA from 1 species